UGGAAACUUACUAAGUGAUCACUUUCAAAUUCAGAGAAACCCUGGAAUUAACAAAAAUGGGCAAUCCUGAGCCAAAUCCUGUUUUCCGAAAACAAAAAAAGGUUCAGAAAAAAAGGAUAGGUGCAGAGACUCAAUGGAAGCUAUUCUAACAAAUGGAGUUAAAUGCGUUGGUAGAGGAAUCUUUACAUCGAAACUUCAGAAAGAAAAAGAAUGAAGUGAAGGAUAAACGUAUAUACAUACGUAUUGAAUACUAUAUCAAAUGAUUAAUGAUGACCCGAAUCCGUAUUUUUUCUAUAAAAAAUAGAAGAAUUGGUGUGAAUCGAUUCUACAUUGAAGAAAGAAUCGAAUAUUCAUUGAUCAAAUCAUUCACUCCAUAGUCUGAUAGAUCUUUUAAAGAACUGAUUAAUCGGACGAGAAUAAAGAUAGAGUCCCAUUCUACAUGUCAAUACCGGCAACAAUGAAAUUUAUAGUAAGAGGAAAAUCCGUCGACUUUAAAAAUCGUGAGGGUUCAAGUCCCUCUAUCCCCAAAAAGACUAUUUCACUCCCCAACUAUUUAUCCGACCCCCU
rnacentral:precursor_RNA from 1 species